rnacentral:snRNA from 1 species
GGAUGUGAGGGCGAUCUGGCUGUGACAUGUGUCACCCCAUUGAUCACCAGGGUUGAUUCGGCUGAUCUGGCUGGCUAGGCAGCUGUCCCCUUCCUCCCUCACCACUCCAUGUGUGUCCCUCUCAAAGCUGCGCUCUUGGUCAAAGAGGAUGACUUUCCCUGAUAGAGGAGGACCAGUCUUCAGUCAAGGGUAUACGAGUAGCUGCGCUCCCCUGCUAGAACCUCCACACAAGCUAUCAAGAUCUGUGUCAGCUUGGGCAAAGUACCAGGAAAAAUGCAAAGCAGGAAGUGAUGGAUUCUCC